rnacentral:rRNA from 1 species
GAGAACGCUGGCGGCAGGCCUAACACAUGCAAGUCGAAGCGCCCCCGCAAGGGACGGCGGACGGGUGAGUAACACGUGGGAACGUGCCCUUCGGUUCGGGAUAACUCAGGGAAACUUGAGCUAACACCGGAUACGCCCUUCGGGGGAAAGGUUACGCCGUUGGAGCGGCCCGCGUUGGAUUAGCUUGUUGGUGGGGUAAUGGCCCACCAAGGCUACGAUCCAUAGCUGGUCUGAGAGGAUGAUCAGCCACACUGGGACUGAGACACGGCCCAGACUCCUACGGGAGGCAGCAGUGGGGAAUCUUGCGCAAUGGGCGAAAGCCUGACGCAGCCAUGCCGCGUGAAUGAUGAAGGUCUUAGGAUUGUAAAAUUCUUUCAGCGGGGACGAUAAUGACGGUACCCGCAGAAGAAGCCCCGGCAAAUUCGUGC